AGGCCUACCAUGGUGGUAACGGGUAACGGGGUGUUAGGGCACGACACCGGAGAGGGAGCCUGAGAAACGGCUACCACAUCCAAGGAUGGCAGCAGGCGCGCAAAUUACCCAAUCCCGACACGGGGAGGUAGUGACAAUAAAUAACAAUACGGGGUUCUUUAGGAUCUCGUAAUUGGAAUGAGUACAAUUUAAAUCUCUUAACGAGGAACAAUUGGAGGGCAAGUCUGGUGCCAGCAGCCGCGGUAAUUCCAGCUCCAAUAGCGUAUAUUAAAGUUGUUGCAGUUAAAAAGCUCGUAGUUGAAUUUCGGGGUUAGUAGGUUGGUCAUGCCUCUGGUAUGUACUGGUCUCACUGAUUCCUCCUUCCUUAUGAACCGUAAUGCCAUUAAUUUGGUGUUGCGGGGAAUUUGGACUGUUACUUUGAAAAAAUUAGAGUGUUUAAAGCAAGCUAACGCUUGAAUACAUUAGCAUGGAAUAAUGAAAUAGGACGUUCGAUCUUAUUUUGUUGGUUUCUAGGAUUGACGUAAUGAUUAAUAGGGAUAGUUGGGGGCAUUAGUAUUCAAUUGUCAGAGGUGAAAUUCUUGGAUUUAUUGAAGACUAACUACUGCGAAAGCAUUUGCCAAGGAUGUUUUCAUUAAUCAAGAACGAAAGUUAGGGGAUCGAAGACGAUCAGAUACCGUCGUAGUCUUAACCAUAAACUAUGCCGACUAGGGAUCGGAUGA
rnacentral:rRNA from 1 species